rnacentral:rRNA from 1 species
UUUUUCUUUCACCGGAGCUUGCUCCACCGAAAGAAAAGGAGUGGCGAACGGGUGAGUAACACGUGGGUAACCUGCCCAUCAGAAGGGGAUAACACUUGGAAACAGGUGCUAAUACCGUAUAACAAUCGAAACCGCAUGGUUUCGGUUUGAAAGGCGCUUUUGCGUCACUGAUGGAUGGACCCGCGGUGCAUUAGCUAGUUGGUGAGGUAACGGCUCACCAAGGCAACGAUGCAUAGCCGACCUGAGAGGGUGAUCGGCCACAUUGGGACUGAGACACGGCCCAAACUCCUACGGGAGGCAGCAGUAGGGAAUCUUCGGCAAUGGACGGAAGUCUGACCGAGCAACGCCGCGUGAGUGAAGAAGGUUUUCGGAUCGUAAAACUCUGUUGUUAGAGAAGAACAAGGAUGAGAGUAGAAUGUUCAUCCCUUGACGGUAUCUAACCAGAAAGCCACGGCUAACUACGUGCCAGCAGCCGCGGUAAUACGUAGGUGGCAAGCGUUGUCCGGAUUUAUUGGGCGUAAAGCGAGCGCAGGCGGUUUCUUAAGUCUGAUGUGAAAGCCCCCGGCUCAACCGGGGAGGGUCAUUGGAAACUGGNGAAACUUGAGUGCAGAAGAGGAGAGUGGAAUUCCAUGUGUAGCGGUGAAAUGCGUAGAUAUAUGGAGGAACACCAGUGGCGAAGGCGGCUCUCUGGUCUGUAACUGACGCUGAGGCUCGAAAGCGUGGGGAGCAAACAGGAUUAGAUACCCUGGUAGUCCACGCCGUAAACGAUGAGUGCUAAGUGUUGGAGGGUUUCCGCCCUUCAGUGCUGCAGCUAACGCAUUAAGCACUCCGCCUGGGGAGUACGACCGCAAGGUUGAAACUCAAAGGAAUUGACGGGGGCCCGCACAAGCGGUGGAGCAUGUGGUUUAAUUCGAAGCAACGCGAAGAACCUUACCAGGUCUUGACAUCCUUUGACCACUCUAGAGAUAGAGCUUCCCCUUCGGGGGCAAAGUGACAGGUGGUGCAUGGUNGUCGUCAGCUNGUGUCGUGAGAUGUUGGGUUAAGUCCCGCAACGAGCGCAACCCUUANUNUUAGUUGCCAUCAUUUAGUUGGGCACUCUAGCGNGACNGCCGGNGACAAACCGGAGGAAGGUGGGGAUGACGUCAAAUCAUCAUGCCCCUUAUGACCUGGGCUACACACNUGNUACAAUGGGAAGUACAACGAGUCGNGAAGUCGCGAGGCUAAGCUAAUCUCUUAAAGCUUNUCUCAGUUCGGAUUGUAGGNUGCAACUCGCNUACAGAAG